rnacentral:rRNA from 1 species
GAUGAACGCUGGCGGCGUGCCUAAUACAUGCAAGUCGAGCGAACAGACGAGGAGCUUGCUCCUCUGACGUUAGCGGCGGACGGGUGAGUAACACGUGGAUAACCUACCUAUAAGACUGGGAUAACUUCGGGAAACCGGAUCUAAUACCGGAUAAUAUAUUGAACCGCAUGGUUCAAUAGUGAAAGACGGUUUUGCUGUCACUUAUAGAUGUAUCCGCGCCGCAUUAGCUAGUUGGUAAGGUAACGGCUUACCAAGGCAACGAUGCGUAGCCGACCUGAGAGGGUGAUCGGCCACACUGGAACUGAGACACGGACCAGACUCCUACGGGAGGCAGCAGUAGGGAAUCUUCCGCAAUGGGCGAAAGCAUGACGGAGCAACGCCGCGUGAGUGAUGAAGGUCUUCGGAUCGUAAAACUCUGUUAUUAGGGAAGAAAAAAUGUGUAAGUAACUAUGCACGUAUUGACGGUACCUAAUCAGAAAGCAACGGCUAACUACGUG